AAGUCGUAACAAGGUUUCCGUAGGUGAACCUGCGGAAGGAUCAUUACCGAAUUGUCGACACGAGUUGUUGCUGGCCCUCAAACGGGGGCAUGUGCACACUCUGUUUACACAUCCAUUCACACCUGUGCACCCCCUGUAGUUCUGUGGCCUGGGGGACUCCAUCCUCCUGCCGUGGUUCUAUGUCUUUACACACACACUGUAACAAAGUCUUAUGGAAUGCAUACCGCGUUUAACGCAAUACAAUAUAACUUUCAGCAACGGAUCUCUUGGCUCUC
rnacentral:misc_RNA from 1 species